UUAAGUAGAGGUCGCAUUGUUAAUCAGUAAGCUAUGUGAUGUGUCAGGCACAGAUGAACAUAGCCCAAAGGGAACGAUGCCGAAGCGACGGAUUCCUGAAGGUCCGUAUGCUGGGAGUAUGGUUAACAGCCAUGCUACUGUCAUCGCAAGAUGGAGAGCUACUUGA
rnacentral:ncRNA from 1 species